rnacentral:rRNA from 1 species
AUUGAACGCUGGCGGCAUGCUUUACACAUGCAAGUCGAACGGCAGCGCGGGCUUCGGCCUGGCGGCGAGUGGCGAACGGGUGAGUAAUACAUCGGAACGUGCCCAGUAGUGGGGGAUAGCUCGGCGAAAGCCGGAUUAAUACCGCAUACGACCUGAGGCUGAAAGCGGGGGAUCUUCGGACCUCGCGCUAUUGGAGCGGCCGAUGGCAGAUUAGCUAGUUGGUGGGGUAAAGGCCUACCAAGGCGACGAUCUGUAGCUGGUCUGAGAGGACGACCAGCCACACUGGGACUGAGACACGGCCCAGACUCCUACGGGAGGCAGCAGUGGGGAAUUUUGGACAAUGGGCGAAAGCCUGAUCCAGCAAUGCCGCGUGUGUGAUGAAGGCCUUCGGGUUGUAAAGCACUUUUGGCGGGAACGAAAAGGACUGUGCCAAUACCACGGUUCGAUGACGGUACCCGCAGAAUAAGCACCGGCUAACUACGUG